UACAGAGGGUGCGAGCGUUGUCCGGAAUCACUGGGCGUAAAGGGCGCGUAGGCGGCUUGAUAAGCGUGCGGUGAAAGCCCGGGGCUCAACCCCGGGUCGGCCGUGCGAACUGUCGAGCUGGAGCACUGUAGAGGCAGGUGGAAUUCCCGGUGUAGCGGUGGAAUGCGUAGAGAUCGGGAAGAACACCCGUGGCGAAGGCGGCCGGCUGGGCCGGGUCCGACGCUGAGGCGCGAAAGCGUGGGGAGCAAACAGG
rnacentral:rRNA from 1 species